rnacentral:rRNA from 1 species
UACGUAGGGCGCAAGCGUUGUCCGGAAUUAUUGGGCGUAAAGAGCUCGUAGGCGGUUUGUCGCGUCUGCUGUGAAAACGCGGGGCUUAACCCCGCGCCUGCAGUGGGUACGGGCAGACUAGAGUGCGGUAGGGGAGACUGGAAUUCCUGGUGUAGCGGUGGAAUGCGCAGAUAUCAGGAGGAACACCGGUGGCGAAGGCGGCGAUCUGGGUAGAUACUGACGCUGAGGAGCGAAAGCGUGGGGAGCGAACAGG